AUUGAACGCUGGCGGCAGGCCUAACACAUGCAAGUCGAACGAGUGGCGGACGGGUGAGUAAUGUCUGGGAAACUGCCUGAUGGAGGGGGAAAACUACUGGAAACGGUAGCUAAUACCGCAAACCAUCAGAUGUGCCCAGAGGGGAUUAGCUAGUUGGUGGGGUAACGGCUUACCAAGGCGACGAUCCCUAGCUGGUCUGAGAGGAUGACCAGCCACACUGGAACUGAGACACGGUCCAGACUCCUACGGGAGGCAGCAUUGGGGAAUAUUGCACAAUGGGCGCCAGCCUGAUGCAGCCAUGCCGCGUGUAUGACGAAGGCCUUCUGGUUGUAAAGUACUUUCAGCGGGGAGGCGUUACCCUCAGAAGAAGCACCGGCUAACUCCGUGCCAGCAGCCGCGGUAAUUC
rnacentral:rRNA from 1 species